UACCAUCUUUUUUCGCUACCUACAAACGAUCCUAGAUAAAGGAAAAGAAAAAGGUAAAAAGCGAGUAAUACAAAUUUUCGAUGGAAAAACGAAGGAAAGGCGAAAGACAAAAGGGCCGAUGAAUGAAUUUCAAAAGAUAAUAGAGACUCGCCUACCCUUUAGACGUCCAGCAUACCGUCAAUGAUUGCAAAAAUACGAAGGACGCUCUGCCAGCUGAAUAAUGACGUUUCAUCUCUGGAAAAAUUGAAUUCUUUCAAUUUAUUUUCGAUUUCAAUUCCGCCCGCAAAGGUACGCGCGAGCCAUUUGUCGUCGUUGCUUGUCGGUGUGCAGCUGAACCGCAUAAAAGCACUCCAUUCGUUCGCGGUCGUAAUAUACCAGCAACGGCCCUCCGAUGGAUUAAACAUUGACGAGAGAACUUUUUAAAGCGGAUUCUGGGAACCACGCCCGAUAGGUGUAAAAUAUGUAGCUACAACGGAGUGUUGGUCAGGACGGAUGAAAAAGUUGACUGAGAUAGGACGCGCGAGCGAGAGAGGGCCGCGUGUGUGUACACAGGGUGUCGCAUUUGAACGAAUCACAAAAAUAUCGUACAAUACGGAUGCGGAUUUUGCGACGAUAUAUUUAUUUGAAACGUAAAAUGAGAAUAACAAAUAUUCUCGUUACGUGAUAUCAUCUUUUUCAAUAGCUUUCGACCUGCAACCUUCGACGGAUCAUCUUAAAUGAACCAUCCUGUACAGAAAUGAAAGGACAAAAAAAAAAGGAGAAGGGAAACGUAGCGAUAUCGAGAGGAUCGAAACGCAUUCUGCGUUCGCUUUAAUGACAGAUAAUGCAGGUAUUAUACGGGCGACCGAUGUUCACGAUCGAUCUCUAUAUAUCCGCGCGUGAUUGCAUUAAUCGGCUUAACGGUCGUGCAUACAUCGCCAAAUAAAUUGGCCGUGAUCGACGUUUAGUCGUGCACCCCCUACGGACGACCGUAUUCGUACCCUCAUCGUUUCUCUCGACGUAAUCGUCACUAUGUUUCCCGAAAAGGAAAGAAAAAAAAAAAAAAAGAAAAAAAAAGGAAAGAACUUUAGUACCAUUUUUUCGAGCCCAGCUAAAUUAUUUUUAUCCCAUUACUCGAUCGGCGAAAUACGAUCCGCGAGAUUUCGCGGAUGUAUACGUUCGGAGUCCUCGAAUCGUGAGCUUGACAAAUACAAGAUUAUGAUAUUAAUAGAAAGUUUCUAGUAGAAUUAAUGUCAUUAGAUUUCACCAGUGAUAUAUCGAACGGACUUUAUCGCACGUAGAUAAGUACGAAUGUACAUUGCACGUACAUACAUAUUUACGAAGCGAAGCUUUCGAAAUCGAGAAAGGAAACGUCUGUUUGUUCGUACGUUUGUACAGAAGAUUAAGUCACGGUAUAACUACGGCAAAGUGUCAGAUAAUAAAUCGACGAGACAACUGUUCUAACGUAAGACCAGAACGGGACAUCAGUAAGGAGGCACGAAAACUUGCUCGCUGGUUUCAGAUGGCAGCCAGUUACGGGUAGAGCUUCUUAUUGCAUAAUUUUCUAAGUGGCCAAGAGCUUUGUCUUUAUCACAAACUCGCUACACGGAAUGUUGUUUCGCUUCUCUGUUAAUUAACUAAUUAUAAGACCGAACGUUCACGGACGCGCUCUGAGCUUUAGCCCUGCGAGUCGUCUGCAUUGCUCGUAUUCUCCUUUAAACUUCUCCAGAAUUAUAUUAUAUAAGAGAGAUCUACGAAUCGCGUUUGGACGAAUUUGACGAUUUUCUUGCUUCGAAGUUGUGUAAUUAAUCUUUUAGCCUGAUUAAUCGAAUUUCUCUUAUUGCGCUACAUCAAAAUGAAACUCUAUAGAAAUAUUCCCUAUGUAAGUCGAAUUUAUAUGUUCUGAUGAAAUCGCAAACGGUGCACCAACCCGUAACCCGUUAACAGCAAUCGAUACGCGGACACAUCGGGAGACUUGAAAAGUAGCAAGGAGCAUAAGUUGAUCCCUCGCACGUGCAGCGUAUGCAGAAUCGAACACAAGACGGUGGUGGUUCUAUUUUAGGUGUCGGACAUUCGUAUUUUACUCGACAGGGUCGUAUCGGACAUGGUCCCGCUACGCAUACGGUCGGUGGCGGUGGUGGAGGACAAGGCCGUUCUCUGCAGAUCUAUAAAUUCAUUAUACUCGGUUAGAGAUCGGAAAUGUUUUCCUAGAAACAUCUUAAAUCACUCGAAACGAUUAAUUAACCAUUAUCGUUCAUUUCCUUUCUAAAGAUCUUUUAAUUAUCCAUUAAUAGAUCUUUUACGAAUAGUGCUUGCUAUUUUAUUACUUCGAUAUUUAAUUUUGUCAACGAGAUGGUAAAACUUGAAAAGUUAAAUAAUUUAUAAUAAUUAUACGCAUGAGAAAGAAAAAGUAUAAAGGUAUUUGAACCUUUUGAAAACAAGAUGUACGUAUAUUAUUCUAACGAGCUAAUCGUUAUAUUAACGAGAAUAGGAAAAAACGGUGUUAGAAGCGUCCCAAUGCUUUCGGUGAAUGAUCUCGAGUGCAAAUUGCAUUUAUCAACACAUUUCACAAAAAGUGGAUAGACGUACUAAUGGCAAGCACGUGGGAGGAGGAGGGCAGCAUCGCUUAGGUGGACACUGCUGCAUCGGUGGACAACCAUCCUUUGGACAGCAAAACGGCGCUGGUCUUAUAUGACAGCACGGCGGGGGUAAAGUGCUCGUACGCCUUGCCUCUCCACAGCUACUCUGACAAGACAUUUUUCUUCUUAUACAAUACUACGGAGCUAAAGGAAAUAUCCUUGUUGAAACUUCCUCCCAGAUUUACGAUCAAGCUUUUAUGACGGAGAAAGAAAAACCCAUGAGAAACCUGGACGAGUAUUAAUUACUGGCUACAUUUUGAAAAAAGUUCUUUGAUAAACUGAUGCUUCGUCCUUGUCGUCUAUAUGCGUCUGCUUGCCUUUGUCUUUUCCUUCUUCUUUUUUUUUUUUCCUUUUUUUCUUCUUUUUUUGCAUUCGACUAUUUCGAGAUAAAAUUACAUACUUCAGAUAAGUGUCCGUAAAUCCUGCUUUUUUCUCGUUUUCCACUCAUUCUUCCGUGAAUUUUUAUAUUAAAACGAUGUCACUUUUUUCUUUAUUAACUUGGAUGAAAAAUUAUAUUCCGCUUUUAGGAACAACUUUUGAGAACUGGAUUUCCACAACAGUCGUACCACUUUAGACAGCAACACGUCUUUCGAAUUGGUUUCGGACAAAGAUAACAAUUUGGUAUAGUUGGACGAUAACAGGGCGCAUAAGUCGAUCUGUAUAACCAGAAAAAAUCGUACACGACUUUUUGUCCAAAUGUAUAUAUAAAUUGAAAGGUUAAAGAAAGAAAAAAUGCAUCGAUAAAAACUUGUCGUUUAUAUAUCGAUAUCUAUUCGUUUACCUGUCACAUGUGUACGUCAGUUGAAAUUGAACGCUGGACUGUCCGCAAGUUGGUGUCCGACAAGAUGAACACGGUGGACACGGUGGACAAGCUGGAUCAUUACAAGAUUGUUUCUCAAUGCAACGCGAUGGAACGGAAGGUGGAUGUACGACGAGAGCUUCCGCGAAAGUCAAUGCCAUCUUGGUUGAAACGAUUGCUAAGUUAUACAGCAGCGCGGAAGUUUGCAGCGGAUAAAAGAAAAGAAAAAAAAAAAAAAAAAAAAAAAAAAAAAAAAAAAAGACAAAACAACAAAACGAAAGAACAAACGCAAACAUUCAUGCGUCUGUUCCAUUCCGCAUAAUUUUCAUUCGCUAUCGCAAGAAAAUAAUGAUCCAGGAGACGCUGUAUCUUACUUACAUACGUACAAAAAAAAGACGAUUUCGUAAUCACAACAGACAUUAUAUAAUAAACCGUAUCUUUACAGGGGCAGAUACAUUGUAAAAUGAACAAGGAUAUCUUUUACGAAAUAUACACGCAUUAAGUUGUACGUUUGAUCCAGGAAUCGAUCGGCAACAUUAUGUACAAUACAACCACGAAAGAGUGCAUAACGAUAAUCGUCGCCGAAUCAGCAGCCAACGUGGUUGCACUUUCGAAUUUGGCACGCGGUACGUUUACUUUGCCCGUCGAUUUGCAUUUAGGUGUCCCUUUUUUUGCACUGUAUUUUUUCACUUUUCCAAGAGUCGGGACGUCUAAACGCGCAAUGCUCUCGCUUCCUGAUAUAUUUCAUAAAAAUAAGACGGGAGAUGAGAGAAGAAAGAAUUUUAACAAAGAAAAAAAAAGA